UAGUAGUCUGAAAUGCAAGUGCUUC
rnacentral:piRNA from 1 species